rnacentral:rRNA from 1 species
AUUGAACGCUGGCGGCAUGCCUUACACAUGCAAGUCGAACGGCAGCACGGGUGCUUGCACCUGGUGGCGAGUGGCGAACGGGUGAGUAAUACAUCGGAACGUACCUUAUCGCGGGGGAUAACGCAGCGAAAGCUGUGCUAAUACCGCAUACGCCCUGAGGGGGAAAGCGGGGGAUCGAAAGACCUCGCGCGAUUAGAGCGGCCGAUGCCUGAUUAGCUUGUUGGUGGGGUAAAAGCCCACCAAGGCGACGAUCAGUAGCUGGUCUGAGAGGACGAUCAGCCACACUGGGACUGAGACACGGCCCAGACUCCUACGGGAGGCAGCAGAGGGGAAUUUUGGACAAUGGGGGCAACCCUGAUCCAGCAAUGCCGCGUGAGUGAAGAAGGCCUUCGGGUUGUAAAGCUCUUUUGUCAGGGAAGAAACGCCGGCUCUAACACAGUCCGGGAAUGACGGUACCUGAAGAAUAAGCACCGGCUAACUACGUGCCAGCAGCCGCAGUAA